rnacentral:rRNA from 1 species
UACAGAGGGGGCAAGCGUUAUUCGGAAUUAUUGGGCGUAAAGGGCGCGUAGGCGGCUUUGCAAGUGGAUGGUGAAAUCCCUCGGCUUAACCGAGGAACUGCCGUCCAAACUGCUUGGCUUGAGACCAGGAGAGGUGAGUGGAAUUCCCAGUGUAGCGGUGAAAUGCGUAGAUAUUGGGAGGAACACCAGUGGCGAAGGCGGCUCACUGGACUGGUACUGACGCUGAUGCGCGAAAGCGUGGGGAGCAAACGGG